ACGGGAGGCAGCAGUGAGGAAUAUUGGUCAAUGGACGGAAGUCUGAACCAGCCAUGCCGCGUGAAGGAAGAAUGCCCUAUGGGUUGUAAACUUCUUUUGCCGCAGAGUAAUAAGUGGGAUGCGUCCCAUGAUGAGAGUAUGCGGCGAAUAAGCAUCGGCUAACUCCGUGCCAGCAGCCGCGGUAAUACGGAGGAUGCAAGCGUUAUCCGGAUUUAUUGGGUUUAAAGGGUGCGUAGGCGGGCUGUUAAGUCAGCGGUGAAACCCCCGGGCUCAACCCGGGGACUGCCAUUGAAACUGGCGGCCUUGAGUACGUUGGGAGUGCGCGGAAUGUGUGGUGUAGCGGUGAAAUGCAUAGAUAUCACACAGAACACCGAUCGCGUAGGCAGCGCACUACGCCGCAACUGACGCUGAGGCACGAAGGCGCGGGGAUCGAACAGGAUUAGAUACCCUGGUA
rnacentral:rRNA from 1 species